CUUCCCUAUUUGCAAAGACCUUAUUUCCAUUUUUCUCCUCUUCUCAUAUUUUUUCCUUUCUCUUUUUUCCCUUCCCCUACCCCUCCUAAUUCCCCUGCUAUUUUAGACCUUUUCGGCACGCCCUACUGAGGUCUCUAGUGGCACGGAACAUGCCGAAUCAGCCCGCUGCAGACAGGCAGGCACCUGGUUCCACACUACAAAGACGCAGAGGACACCAAAUCACCAGACCAAGAGGCUGAAUACUCCUACAAUGGGUGUCUGAGGGCUUAAAACCGAGGAGAUCAUUGACUGCUCAGAUGAAGAAGCUAGAAGCAUCAGAACAAAAGGAACCAAUAAUUCAACUAGAGCCCAAGGGAGAAGGCUUUCCUGCUCAUAUGGAGCCUCUGACACAGCUGAUGAGGCAGGGCCCCAGCAAGAGGAGAACAGAAGACAAGACGGUGUGGUGGAGCAAGGCCUGGCUGAGAAGAGGAUUGUCUUCUUCCCUGCUCAUUUGCCAGAAAACCAUCAAGCGUGGUGUCCUGCAGACCUUAGCUACUCUCCUGGCUCCAGUUACAGACCACCCCCUUUUACCUCCCCCUGCACUUCCCUUAUCUCUACUAUAAAUAAAUGAGCAGUGGCC
rnacentral:lncRNA from 1 species